GCACCUGAUUCCUGUAACCAGUUCUGAUUGUCAUUGCAGACUCUGGAGGAGCUGUUGUGCCAAAGCAAUGCUGAGUGAAUCCAGAUAGAUCUCUUCUAAAUUGAGGCCUGUCUCUACAACUUAGCAACAGAU